UAUUGUAUAUAAACAUCCGUGUAUCGCUUGUUGAAAUACGAAGACCACAGUUCAUUUUACAACAAAUUUGGACUUUUCAUUUUUAAAUUCAAUCCAGAUCUUGAAGUAUUAUAGUAAUUCGUUGUAUUCUUAAAUUCAACACAUUAAUACUAGAGCUUACUUGAUUAUGGUACUAUGGCUCAAAUGUGCACAGACAGACAGAUUUUAGUAGAUGGAAUUGAACUGCAGCAUACGGAUCAUUAUGUUUCACCUGAGGGUCAACCUUAUAGAACUCUAACUGAAGCAACAAGGGAGUCAGGUGAAGGAAGAGCUCAGGGAAAUUUUGAAGAAGCCCGAAAGAAAAAUCGUUCGGAACUAGUCUUGAUAUUUGUUUUCAUUAUAGGUUUUACUAUCACAUUAGUGCAUUUACAUUUAAAAUAUUAACAUGUAUUGUUGUCACUAAAGAAUAUUCUUAUGUUCACUUUGUCAUAUUUCUGUAACUGUUAAAAUAAAAUUUUAAGAUUGCA